rnacentral:lncRNA from 1 species
AUAAGACUCAUCCCAGAGUCUAAUCCUGUGGCAGCUCCUUCCCUGAACCUGCGGCAGGUGUUCAGGCUGAUCUGACCCCGUCAUACGCACAGGUAGCGGGUGCUUCUCCUGUGUGCGUACUCAGAGCGGUGCACAGGUAAUCUCUCCCAGGCCCUGACUUGUGAUAUCCCGGGAUCUUGUCUAAUUCUAUGGCAAAAGGCAGAAGAUGAAGGAAGUAAGGGACCGAGGCUCCAUAAGACGAAUCAGGAAACAGGAACCCUCAACACCAGAGAUUGUGGAUGACACUUGAGGGCUCAAGAGCUUCUGACCACCCUGGCACAACUGGGAUGGAGGUGUUAACCAAUGUGGCCGGCAACGGAGGGGGCAUCACAGAAGCCCUGAGAGACAGCUCCAUAGGAAGAUGGCCCAAAUGAAGCGAUGGAGUCUCAGGGAGAAGAGCCCACCCAGCUGCUGUGGAAGAGUCUCUGCUGGAGGUGGUGGGGUGGUGUUUAUUAAAUUUAAAAACUGG